rnacentral:rRNA from 1 species
UGGGGAAUUUUGGACAAUGGGCGAAAGCCUGAUCCAGCAAUGCCGCGUGUGUGAAGAAGGCCUUCGGGUUGUAAAGCACUUUUGUCCGGAAAGAAAUCCUCUGGGUUAAUACCUCGGGGGGAUGACGGUACCGGAAGAAUAAGCACCGGCUAACUACGUGCCAGCAGCCGCGGUAAUACGUAGGGUGCAAGCGUUAAUCGGAAUUACUGGGCGUAAAGCGUGCGCAGGCGGUUUUGUAAGACGGAUGUGAAAUCCCCGGGCUUAACCUGGGAACUGCAUUCGUGACUGCAAGGCUAGAGUAUGGCAGAGGCAACCGGAAUUCUUGGUGUAGCGGUGAAAUGCGUAGAUAUCAAGAGGAACACCUGAGGCGAAGGCGGGUUGCUGGGCCGACACUGACGCUGAUGCGCGAAAGCCAGGGGAGCAAACG